rnacentral:lncRNA from 1 species
CCAAAGUAGAUGGUUUAGUAAACUUUGAGAAGUUAAGAAUGAUUUCCAAGGAAAUCCGCCAAGUUGUUCGAAUGACUUCUGCUAACAUGGACCCAGCUAUGAUGUUUCGACAGAGGUCACUGAGUCAAGGAAGCACAAAUUCAAACAUGCUGGAUGUUCAGGGAGGUGCUCACAAAAAAAGGGCACGCCGCAGCUCUCUGCUUAAUGCCAAGAAGCUAUAUGAGGAUGCCCAAAUGGCAAGGAAGGUGAAGCAGUAUCUUUCCAGUCUGGAUGUAGAGACAGAUGAGGAGAAGUUCCAGAUGAUGUCAUUACAGUGGGAGCCUGCAUAUGGUACCUUGACCAAGAAUUUAAGUGAGAAAAGAUCAGCCAAAUCAUUUGAAAUGUCUCCAGUGCCUAUGAGGUCAGCUGGCCAAACAACUAAAGCCCACUUGCAUCAACCCCACAGAGUAAGCCAGGUGCUUCAGGUGCCAGCUGUUAAUUUGCACCCCAUCAGGAAGAAGGGACCAACAAAAGACCCUGCACUGAGUGAGUAUUCACCGUUAAUAUUACAUCCGUUUACCUGAAAUUUCCAGGGGAGUUAGAGUGAAAAAUAAUUACAGAUGUU